rnacentral:rRNA from 1 species
AUACGUAGGGGGCGAGCGUUGUCCGGAAUGAUUGGGCGUAAAGGGCGCGUAGGCGGCCCGGUAAGUCUGGAGUGAAAGUCCUGUUUUUAAGAUGGGAAUUGCUUUGGAUACUGUCGGGCUUGAGUGCAGGAGAGGUAAGUGGGAUUCCCAGUGUAGCGGUGAAAUGCGUAGAGAUUGGGAGGAACACCAGUGGCGAAGGCGACUUACUGGACUGUAACUGACGCUGAGGCGCGAAAGUGUGGGGAGCAAACAGGAUUAGAUACCCUGGUAGUCCACACUGUAAACGAUGAAUGCUAGGUGUAGGGGGUAUCGACCCCUUCUGUGCCGCAGUCAACACAAUAAGCAUUCCGCCUGGGGAGUACGGCCGCAAGGUUGAAACUCAAAUGAAUUGACGGGG